rnacentral:rRNA from 1 species
AUUGAACGCUGGCGGCAGGCUUAACACAUGCAAGUCGAGCGAGCGGCGGACGGGUGAGUAAUGUCUGGGAAACUGCCUGAUGGAGUGGGAUAACUACUGGAAACGGUCGCUAAUACCGCAUACCAUCAGAUGUGCCCAGAUGGGAUUAGCUAGUAGGUGGGGUAAUGGCUCACCUAGGCGACGCUCCCUAGCUGGUCUGAGAGGAUGACCAGCCAAACUGGAAAUGAGACACGGUCCAGACUCCUACGGGAGGCAGCAGUGGGGAAUAUUGCACAAUGGGCGCAAGCCUGAUGCAGCCAUGCCGCGUGUGUGAAGAAGGCCUUCGGGUUGUAAAGCACUUUCAGCGGGGAGGCGUUACGCGCAGAAGAAGCACCGGCUAACUCCGUGCCAGCAGCCGCGGUAAUUC